rnacentral:rRNA from 1 species
ACGGGGUAGGAAUACGUAGGUAACGUACCCUCAGGACGGGGAUAGCCACGGGAAACUGUGGGUAAUACCCGAUGAUCUGGUCUGGAUUGAUUUCCGGAUCAGCAAAGGUGAGAUUCCACCUGAGGAGCGGCUUACGCGAUAUUAGCUUGUUGGUGAGGUAACGGCUCACCAAGGCUGCGAUAUCUAGGGGGUGUGAGAGCAUGGCCCCCACCACUGGGACUGAGAUACUGCCCAGACACCUACGGGUGGCUGCAGUCGAGAGUCUUCGGCAAUGGGCGAAAGCCUGACCGAGCGACGCCGCGUGCGGGACGAAGGCCUUCGGGUUGUAAACCGCUGUCGGGAGGGAUGAAGUGCACGGGGGCUAUCCCCUGUGUUUGUCAGAGCUCCGGAGGAAGCACGGGCUAAGUUCGUGCCAGCAGCCGCGGUAAUACGAACUGUGCGAACGUUAUUCGGAAUCACUGGGCUUAAAGGGUGCGUAGGCGGCGCUGUAAGUCAGGUGUGAAAUCCCCCGGCUCAACCGGGGAAUGGCGCUUGAAACUGCAGUGCUUGAGUGAGGUAGGGGUGCAUGGAACUUCCGGUGGAGCGGUGAA